AUGAAUAUAAGUACUGUUAUUAAUAUAAUUAUAGAUAGAUACAUACAUGUUUGCCAGGAAUAGUUGGGGGGCAAUUAAGACAUGCAUGGAUCACAUAAUUAAAGUAGUUAGAUCGGAUGAUCUGUACAACAACGUCAACAAACGAACAAAACACUUAGCCUUUUUAACUGGAUCAUUAACAUUUUCUCGUGAAUAUAUAUCAGAGUACAGCUAAUUUAAUACAUAUAUAUAUAAUUCAGAUCAUAGUACUUUCUUCUCAUUGUUUAAUGGCUGUCAAAAUUAGUACAAAACAUUAUCCCUUCAUUUAGAGUUUUUUUUUUUAUAAAAAAAAACACUAAUUUGUCUAUGGUAGCAGCUAGAUCCACUUAAAAGGAAGGCACCAACAUUCAGAUCUGGUUUUUUAUUUUUUAUUUUUGCAAAUAUACCCUCACGACAAGACAGCAUGUUUUAAAGAUACUCUAGAACCCCUUUUUCUUACAGCUGAGUUGUCCUUUGUCAUAUAUAUAUAUGAAGAAGAAAAAAACCCUAAUGUAAGCAAAAUCAAAGUGGGGUUUUAUAGUAAUCAGUAUUGGAUGAAAUGGUAAGGCACGAGUAGAUUGAUGACAUUGAAUUUUAGAACUUAAAUUCGAAAUUUUAAAAGAUAAGAUUGAUGAAUAACAGUUACAAACCCUAAAAAUAUUAAUGGAUUUAGGGUAAACUUUGAUGAAUUGGGUGGGGAUUUUUCAAAUCAGAAAAGCUAGGCCAAAGGCUAAUCCAAGUGGUCCUUAAGGUAACAUUCAAUAUAACAAGAACUUUAAUGGCUCAUUAUUUGAGUCCUAGCAAACUCUAUAAUAUGGUUAAAAUAAUUUUUUUUCCAACCAUUCAAAACAGAAUAAUUUAAAUGGCAUUUAUAUAUGAUUGUAAAACUUAUAAAUGAAUGGUACUCAAUGUAAGAUCAGAUUGGUCCAAAACCAAAAUUAAGACAGAACACAAUUAAGAUCCAAAACCAAACACAGCGAAGACAAGAAUCUAGAGACCAAGUUCGAGUCUUAGAAUUAACAUGCUCUAAAUUGUAACGUAAGCUUUAAU
rnacentral:lncRNA from 1 species